rnacentral:rRNA from 1 species
UACGUAGGGUGCGAGCGUUAAUCGGAAUUACUGGGCGUAAAGCGCGCGUAGGUGGUUUGUUAAGUUGGAUGUGAAAGCCCCGGGCUCAACCUGGGAACUGCAUUCAAAACUGACAAGCUAGAGUAUGGUAGAGGGUGGUGGAAUUUCCUGUGUAGCGGUGAAAUGCGUAGAUAUAGGAAGGAACACCAGUGGCGAAGGCGACUACCUGGCCUGUUCUUGACGCUGAGGCGCGAAAGCUAGGGGAGCAAACGGG